UAGCGAAGGGUGCAAGCGUUAAUCGGAAUUACUGGGCGUAAAGCGUGCGUAGGCGGUGAGUUAAGUCUGUCGUGAAAUCCCCGGGCUCAACCUGGGAAUGGCGAUGGAUACUGGCUCGCUAGAGUGUGAUAGAGGAUGGUGGAAUUCCCGGUGUAGCGGUGGAAUGCGUAGAGAUCGGGAAGAACAUCAGUGGCGAAGGCGUCUGCUGGGCCGUUGCUGACGCUGAGGCGCGGACAGCGGUGGGGAGCAAACAGGG
rnacentral:rRNA from 1 species